CUUCAAUAGUCACUGGAUCAGGUCCUCAGUGGAAGGAGAUUAGGAAGGAAGAAUGACUGACUGUCAUUGGCUUUCAGUGGAAUCAUGCCUUGGGACUGAUAUUUUUUUCAACUCCCGGGAUGAGUUUAUUAUGGACCUGAUAAAUACGUGCGAGACAAAGCAGCAUAACAAUGUAAGAGCUGGAUCCUGUUCCCACCCAGAAAGGCUGGAUGUGUGAAGUCUUGGCUGGCCUGCCCUUGAAAAAGAUAAAGGUGGUGGCUUCCUUCCCAGUGUCCUUGAAGCUAGGAAAUGUGUCUGAUAUUGUUUUAGGGCUCA